GACCGCCUCCUUCCCCCUCCUCCGCGCGCACGGAGCGGCCGUUACUGGUCGAGCGCGCGGAGGGGGGGGGGCACUGCUAGCGUAAAGCAAACCACCUCGGGCGAGAGCAACUACUGCGCUGUGCGCGCGCUCGCCCCGCCCCGCCCCCUCACGGUAUGUGCGGGCGGCGGCCGCCGGUGGCACGCGGCACCUCGCGCCCCGAUGCUGGUGACCGGUCUGUCCAGUUGACGCGCCUGGGACAAAGCGCACUGGGAUCGGGCCCGCUCAGACCUCUCCCCCCUCCAGCUGAGUGGGGCGAAUCGCCGCGGGAGUGGUUGCGCGCUGGGGGUGUCUCUAGCUUUCUUGGGUCAGCAAAGAUGAACCGGGCCUGCAAUGAGUCGGAGAAGUAAAGACCACCAACUAUAAGACCCUGCUGACUCAAGAGUUCUGAAAUUUAUUAGAGAUUCCACAGACAUAUUUUCAACUCCAGGGCCAAAGUCAACUUUUGCAACAUCAGUGCCUAAAUUUAUUACUUUGAUUUGGGAUUGCCCUUCUUUUGGGAAGUCUGGAAGAGUUUUCUUGGUGAAAAAGAGUGAAAUAAAUUAAACAUGUAUUUUGAAGCUGGAUCGUUUAUAUCAAGGCCAUAAAAUCUACCCUGGAGAUAAAAUACUUGCUAUCAUAUUGAAACUGCUACCAGACUAGAGCUCCCUGUCCAACAGAGUAUGGAGAAAGUCCCUGAGAGUACUCCCGCAAAGUGAUAGUGUACAGGGGACAUGAGUGACAGUUCAUCUGGCACAGAGUAUUACUUUCUGGGUGUGGGAUUCUCUGGAUGUUGGUGUGAAGAAAUUCAUUCAUUAUUUAAAAUUUUCCCCUCAUUGGAUGUUUUUUCAGUAAGGCCAGACACAAAGAGGCCAGAAAGUAUUUCCAGUUUGUAUCAUCAUCCUUGAUUCUGCCUUGUAAAAUAUGCUAAAGUAAUAUAUUAUUUUAAUGGCAAUGUGGCUAUAAUUUUUCCCCAUAUUUUAUGGAAAAUGAACUGCAUGACUAACAUAUUUUCACUGCAAAAGAAUAUGUCCCAAAGAGCAAUCUAUACCACUCUCACUCAUCAUUGCCAAAAUAUUUUUAACAUUAGACAAAUAAUACCUGUUUAAAGCAAAAAGAC